rnacentral:rRNA from 3 species
GCUCCGGUGGUUGGAGCGGUAUGGUACCACCCCUUCCCAUCCCGAACAGGGUCGUGAAACGUACCAGCGGUGACGAUACUGAAGUCGCAAGGCUUUGGGACAAUAGCUCAUCGCCGGAUUU